CAAGACUGAAAACAUUGAAGACAAAGAAACAUUCCUUAGCCACUAUUACGUUACAUGGUCCCACAUUUAGACGUAGACAAAGUAGGGAAGGAAUUCCCCCACUCAUGGAAAGAGAGAGCAGCGGUCAACACACAACAGAAGGGUAUACUGCCACUGAGCAAGAUUCCUUAUCUAUGGAAACACAGGUUCUAGGAGAAUUAUCAACAGAAAUUUCAUCUGCAAGAGACAGGACACAAGCACAAGAGAACCCAAGAGCAACAAUGCAAGGGACACAAGAUAAUGUUGCCGCAGAGCAAGAGAGAUCAUUUCCAGCUGUACAACCACAGAUACAAGAAAGAGAAAGACCAUCAGAAUCAGAAGGCGGUAGGACACAAAGAAACACACCAGGGAGGCCAGAAA